GUGAUUAAAUCGAGCGUGUCUUCAUUGACCGCUCACCCUUCUCACCAUCCACAUACACCUGUGCACUGUUUAGCCUGAGCCGGUUUUCCGGUCCAGGUUAUCAUUCCAUACAAACUCUAGUCUUAUGAAUGUAAACGUUUAAUAACAUAAUA
rnacentral:misc_RNA from 1 species